AUUGAACGCUGGCGGCAGGCUUAACACAUGCAAGUCGAACGGUAACAUAAAGAAGCUUGCUUCUUUGAUGACGAGUGGCGGACGGGUGAGUAAUGCUUGGGAAUCUAGCUUAUGGAGGGGGAUAACUACGGGAAACUGUAGCUAAUACCGCGUAGAAUCGGGAGAUAAAAGUGUGGGACCUUCGGGCCACAUGCCAUAGGAUGAGCCCAAGUGGGAUUAGGUAGUUGGUGAGGUAAAGGCUCACCAAGCCGACGAUCUCUAGCUGGUCUGAGAGGAUGACCAGCCACACUGGGACUGAGACACGGCCCAGACUCCUACGGGAGGCAGCAGUGGGGAAUAUUGCGCAAUGGGGGCAACCCUGACGCAGCCAUGCCGCGUGAAUGAAGAAGGCCUUCGGGUUGUAAAGUUCUUUCGGUAGCGAGGAAGGCAUUUAGUUUAAUAAACUGGA
rnacentral:rRNA from 1 species